rnacentral:tRNA from 1 species
UCUCUGGUGGUCCAGUGAGUGGCUAAGAUUCUGCACUCCUAAUUCUGAAGGCCCAGGUUUGAUCCCUGGUCAGAGAA